AGAGGCUGGAGCGCGUACUUACGCGUGUUCGAGUCGCACGAUGAACCACUUGCGGUGGGGAUUAGUGGCGAACGGGUGAGUAACACGUGGGCAAUCUGCCCUUCACUCUGGGACAAGCCCUGGAAACGGGGUCUAAUACCGGAUACCACUACCGCAGGCAUCUGUGGUGGUUGAAAGCUCCGGCGGUGAAGGAUGAGCCCGCGGCCUAUCAGCUUGUUGGUGAGGUAAUGGCUCACCAAGGCGACGACGGGUAGCCGGCCUGAGAGGGCGACCGGCCACACUGGGACUGAGACACGGCCCAGACUCCUACGGGAGGCAGCAGUGGGGAAUAUUGCACAAUGGGCGAAAGCCUGAUGCAGCGACGCCGCGUGAGGGAUGACGGCCUUCGGGUUGUAAACCUCUUUCAGCAGGGAAGAAGCGAAAGUGACGGUACCUGCAGAAGAAGCGCCGGCUAACUACGUGCCAGCAGCCGCGGUAAUACGUAGGGCGCAAGCGUUGUCCGGAAUUAUUGGGCGUAAAGAGCUCGUAGGCGGCUUGUCACGUCGGGUGUGAAAGCCCGGGGCUUAACCCCGGGUCUGCAUUCGAUACGGGCUAGCUAGAGUGUGGUAGGGAGAUCGGAAUUCCUGGUGUAGCGGUGAAAUGCGCAGAUAUCUGAGGAACACCGGUGGCGAAGGCGGAUCUCUGGGCCAUUACUGACGCUGAGGAGCGAAGCGUGGGGGAGCCACAG
rnacentral:rRNA from 1 species